rnacentral:rRNA from 1 species
UACGUAGGGUGCAAGCGUUGUCCGGAAUUAUUGGGCGUAAAGAGCUCGUAGGCGGUUUGUCACGUCGGAUGUGAAAACCCGAGGCUUAACCUCGGGCCUGCAUUCGAUACGGGCUGACUAGAGUUCGGUAGGGGAGACUGGAAUUCCUGGUGUAGCGGUGAAAUGCGCAGAUAUCAGGAGGAACACCGGUGGCGAAGGCGGGUCUCUGGGCCGAUACUGACGCUGAGGAGCGAAAGCGUGGGGAGCGAGCAGG